rnacentral:rRNA from 1 species
GCGGAUCGCAUGGUCUGCUCGGGAAAGCUCCGGCGGAGAGGGAUGGCCCCGCGGCCCAUUAGCUAGUUGGUGAGGUAAUGGCCCACCAAGGCGACGAUGGGCAGCCGAGCUGAGAGGCUGAUCGGCCACACUGGGACUGAGACACGGCCCAGACUCCUACGGGAGGCAGCAGUGGGGAAUUUUGCACAAUGGGCGAAAGCCUGAUGCAGCAACGCCGCGUGCGGGAUGAAGGCCCUCGGGUUGUAAACCGCUUUCAGCAGGGACGAAUAUGACGGUACCUGCAGAAGAAGCCCCGGCUAACUACGCGCCAGCAGCCGCGGUAAUACGUAGGGGGCAAGCGUUAUCCGGAUUCAUUGGGCGUAAAGCGCGCGUAGGCGGCUUGUUAAGUCAGAUGUGAAAACCGGGGGCUCAACCCGCGGCCUGCAUCUGAAACUGGCAGGCUUGAGUCUGGUAGAGGAAAGUGGAAUUCCUGGUGUAGCGGUGAAAUGCGCAGAUAUCAGGAGGAACACCAGUGGCGAAGGCGGCUUUCUGGGCCACGACUGACGCUGAGGCGCGAAAGCUAGGGGAGCAAACAGGAUUAGAUACCCUGGUAGUCCUAGCCGUAAACGAUGGGCACUAGGUGUGGGGGGUCAUCGACUCCCUCCGUGCCGAAGCUAACGCAUUAAGUGCCCCGCCUGGGGAGUACGGCCGCAAGGCUAAAACUCAAAGGAAUUGACGG